GAGCAGCAGCAGUGGCAGCAGCAGCGGCGGCGGCAGCAGCAGCAGUGCUGGGGCUCCAGGAACAGUAAAGUGAACCUGACUCCUCCACUGAUUUGGUGCAAUCUUUGCAAGACACUCAGAGAGAGAGAGAGAGAGAAAAUCUGAGCUAUGACUAUGACUCCGCCUCCUGUCCUUUCACUGUGUGCGUGCCUCCUCCCUGCUUUUGAGCAACUCCCAACAAACAGUUCCAUCAAUUCUAUGAGAAAGACGCAGAUCACAACAUGACCAGGAACGCUCUGUGAGGUUGGUGGUGCACGUGACCUGUGCAAGCAGGUUAAGUGUAAAGAUGACGUGGAAUAGCCCUGGCUCAAGAGGAUCAGGAAUCCUCUAAGGCAGAGGGUUAGCCGACAGUGACCCUUCACCAACGCUCACUCACUCAUCAUACAUGUGCGCUAUGACGUCACAGCUGUGGGAGUUCACGGUGCUGACUCUUUGUUUCUUAGUCUUUAGAUUUCACAACACUGUGAUUUGUUUUAUGUCAAGAAAAACGUGUCACAACAGAAUUCUGCUGUUUUUUGUGCUGCUGGUGUAUACACACAAACGCUUACCUCAGUCAGCACAGAA